UGCUUGUCUCAAAGAUGCAUGUGAAGUAUAAAGACUGCGAAUGGCUCAUUAAAUCAGUUAUAGUUUAUUUGAUGGUUGGAUAACCGUGGUAAUUUAGAGAUACAUGCAAAAGGUCCCGACGGUGAUUCAUAGUAACUGCUCGAAUCGCUUGGGCGCCGGCGAUGGUUCAUUCAAGUUUCUGCCCUAUCAACUUUCGAUGGUAGGGUAUUGGCCUACCAUGUUGCAACGGGGACGGAGAAUUAGGGUUCGAUUCCGGAGAGGCUGAGAACGGCUACCACAUCCGGCAGCAGGCGCGCAAUUACCAAUCCCGACWCGGGGAGGUAGUGACAAKAAAUAACAAURCSGRUCYSGCAAUUGGAAUGAGUCAAUYYAAAUAACGAKAWCAAGGGSAAGUCUGGUGCCUUCCARCUCCAAUAGCGUAUAUUAAAGUUGUUGGAUUUCGGAAGGCCAGUGGUCCGCCAAAGGUGACUCUUCGCAAAGACUGCGCGUGCACUUUAUUGGCGUAAUUUACGACGUUUACUUUGAAAAAAUUAGAGUGUUCAAAGCAGGCUGAAUACAUGAGCAUGGAAUAAUGGAAUAGGAUUUUGUUGGUUUCUGAGCCGAAGUAAUGAUUAAGAGGGACAAUUGGGGGCAUCCGUAUUCGUUGUCAGAGGUGAAUUCUUGGAUUUACGAAAGACGAACAACUGCGAAAGCAUUUGCCAAG
rnacentral:rRNA from 1 species